rnacentral:rRNA from 1 species
AUUGAACGCUGGCGGCAUGCCUUACACAUGCAAGUCGAACGGUAACAGGUCUUCGGUUGCUGCCUAGUUGCGAACGGGUGGAUAGUACAGCGAAACGUGCCAAACCGCGGGGGGUAAGGGGGCAACAACUUUGCUAAUACCCCAAACCAGCAAAGGGUGGAAGCAGGAGAGCGGAGGACCUUAGGGGCUUUUGCCAUCCGAUGGCAGAUUAGGUAGUUGGUGGGAUAAUAGCUUACCGAGCCGACGAUCUGUAGCUGGUCUGAGAGGACGACCAGCCACACUGGGACUGAGACACGGCCCAGACUCCUACGGGAGGCAGCAGUGGGGAAUUUUGGACAAUGGGCGAAAGCCUGAUCCAGCAAUGCCGCGUGUAGGAUGAAGGCCUUCGGGUUGUAAACUGCUUUUGUCCGGAACGAAAAGGGUCUGGCUAAUACCUGGGGCACAUGACGGUACCGGAAGAAUAAGCACCGGCUAACUACGUG